AUGGCCUCAGACCCGGCCUCUGCCGCCUCGCCGAGCGCCGCCGCCGCUGCGGUGACCGACGAGGUAACGCCGCCGCGGGGACGCAAGACGCCACAUACGCUGCCGGAUGAGAAGGAAAUGGAGGCGAUGCGGCGAGCUCCGGCGAGGGGGGAUGAGGAGAGGGGCCUGGGCUUGGAGGGAGAGGGGAGGAGGGGGGAUAAUCUCGUGAUUAGCGUAGACUCCAUUGCCUGCUCUGAUUUCUCCUUCUCCCCCGUCGUCAGAGAUAGGAGGGCCUAUGGCCUAUCCGAUCACUCUACGUAG
rnacentral:rRNA from 1 species